AUUCACGAUAUACAGAUGGUUGCGGCUGCGCAUUUCUGCGCACUGAGCGCAACUUGUACCCGCCUGAACAUCUCGAGCGCCCCACAGACCCUGAGAGCCUUUCAUUCACACACACAGCAGAGCAGCUACUCAGCUAACAUGUCAGACAAGAAACAGACCGUGGACCUGGGUUUACUGGAGGAGGAUGAUGAGUUUGAAGAAUUCCCAGCUGAAGAUUGGACGGGGCUGGAUGAAGAUGAAGAUGCCCAUGUUUGGGAAGACAACUGGGAUGAUGACAACGUGGAGGAUGAUUUCUCAAAUCAGUUAAGUGCUGAGCUGGAAAAACAUGGUUACAAGAUGGAGACGUCAUAACGGCUGACAAGGCCUCCCAGUUGUGGACGACAGUGGAUAUGGACAUUUAUAUUUGAAUAUUACCGUGUGAACAUGAACCACCAGAAGAUUUUUGAGGAUGUUAAUUUGUUCCUUAUUUUUUUGUGUAAGAAAUGUUGAUGAAAGUAAAGCUUUUGACAAAAGAGUUUCUUUGAGAGUUAUUACUGAGAAUCAUUACUGUUCUUGCUUACUAACAACAUUACAAAUCUUCAGUCAAUGGCAUUUAUGAAGAAUAACUUUCCAGAUAAAUUGCUGAAGCCCUAUUGUAAAAUGAAUACAUUAUAACUGUCUAUGUACCACUGAUUUAUACAGCAUAGUUGAUGGUAUAUUGUAACUCACGUUGGAUAUGACUUGAAAUCUGUCCUUUUGGUUUUAGAGCAGUUCUUCUCCUGUUCAUGUAUUCUUACAUAAACUGAAUCCAUCUUUGCAGUUAUUAAAUUUUUCUUUUAUGCAUGA